AACGAACGCUGGCGGCAUGCCUAACACAUGCAAGUCGAACGAGACCUUCGGGUCUAGUGGCGCACGGGUGCGUAACGCGUGGGAACCUGCCCUUAGGUUCGGAAUAACUCCCCGAAAGGGGUGCUAAUACCGGAUAAUGUCUUCGGACCAAAGAUUUAUCGCCCUUGGAUGGGCCCGCGUUGGAUUAGCUAGUUGGUAGGGUAAAAGCCUACCAAGGCGAGGAUCCAUAGCUGGUCAGAGAGGAAGAUCAGCCACACUGGGGCUGGGCCGCGGCCCAGACUCCUACAGGAGGCGGCAGUGGGUGAUCUUGGAAUAUGGGCGGAAGCCUGAACCAGCACUGCCGCGUGAGUGAUGAAGGCCUUAGGGUUGUAAAGCUCUUUUACCCGGGGUGAUAAUGACGGUACCGGAAGAAUAAGCACCGGCUAACUCCGUG
rnacentral:rRNA from 1 species